rnacentral:lncRNA from 1 species
AAAGCAUGCGGUUUUGCUUUUUUCAGGCAAGUAAUUGUCGGCUUUGCAUCGACAGAGUCUUACUCGAGGUUCAUGAUGAUGGUGGCUUUGAUGUGUGUUGGUGCCAUGUGUUUUGUGUGUCUGUUCGGCCUGUUCCUCAAGCACAACAGCCGCAGUAAUUCAGGUUCUGUUCUCCACGGCAUCAGGACUAUAUCAAACCCAGUGGCGGAUGGCCACCAGAGAAUACACCGUGAUCUUCCAGAUGUACCCUAAUUUCAAAGUGAAAAAGAGGAAUUUUACAGACCCACAAACACAGAAGCGGUUGACAGAGACUCAACACGAACGGAAGAUGAGAUCUACACAGCAAUAGACAGAGUCUCACAGCUGAUUCUUCUUCAUGAAUCGAUCUAUCACACUAUUGAUC